CUUCUUAAAGUUUUAUACUUUUAGUCUUUCAUAUUUAGGUUCAUAGAUCCUUUCAAGUUAUUUUUGUGUAUGGAAAUAAAGGUUUGAGGUUGAUUUUUUAUAUAUGGAUACCAGUGUUCUAGUGCCAUUUGCUGAAAACAUUAUCUUUUCCUCUGCUCUUGAAUUGAAUUUAUGUUCUAUAAAAUAUUACUGUUAAAUAAUCUCUCAAAACUCAGUGGACCAUAUAUGUGUGGUUCUAUUUCUAGAUUCUCUGUCUUAUUCCAAUGAUCUAUAUGUCUUUCCUUAUGCCAACACUGCCUUGAUUACUAUAGCUUUAGAGGAAGUCUUAAAAUUAGGUACUAAAUAUCUUCCAACACUGCUUUUUUUUCUUUUUUACUCUUCUAGGUCCUUUGUACUCCUACAUAACUUUUAAAUUUCAAUAUCCAAUUCUUCAUUUAUAGCAAGUAUACACAGACCUGAAUUUUUACAUAUACCUUGUGUUUUUUGUUUGUUUGUUUGUUUGUUUUUGUUUUUGUUUUUGUUUGGUACUGGGGAUCAAACUCGGGUCCUUGCACUUGCACAGCACGCAGCUAAAUCCCCGGCCCUACCUUGUGUUUUCUAAUCCUGCUAAAUUCAAAUACAAGCUCCAGGGGCUCCUAGAGAUUUCUUAGUAUUUUCUCUGUAGAUUAUCAUUUCAUCUACAUAUAAAGAUUUUACUUAUAUCUUCACAAUCCUAUCCUAAUUGUGUCAUUUUAUUGCCAGACUAUUUUGGUUUGGGCUUAUGUUUCAAAAUUUAAUGGACUGAUGAAGAGUGGGCAUAUCUGCCCUUGUUCCCCACCUUAGGGAGAAAGCAUUGUAUCUUCACCAUUCAUAUAAGGCAUUUUUGCUGGAAGUAUGGAGUACAUGUCUUUGAUCUGUUGGGAGGGUUCUGUUCUGCUUCUAGUCUCCUGAUAGCUUUUACCAUGAGCGGCUGUAGAAUUUAGUCUAAUACUUUUUCUCCAACUACUGACAGGAUCAUGUGACUUUUUCCUUUCCUCUGUUAAAAUGAUAACUUUUGGGGGUGGAUCUUUCAAUGCUGAACCAACACUGCCAUCCCUAUAACAAAACCACUUUCUACAUACUGUCAGAUCUGACUUCUAAUUGUUUUGUUAAACAAAUUUCUAUCUAUGUUCAUACUUUUUUCUUCUAUUACCUUUAUCCAGUUUUAGGAUUAGCAGAAUGUUGAUUUCCUAAAAUGAGGGGAUAAGUAUUCCUUCUUUUUUCUGCUUUAAAUGUUUGAUAUAAUUUAUCAGUUAAAAUGUAUAUGAGCCUGUUGUCAUAUAGGUAGGUUUUCAAGCUAGGGUUAUACUUUCUUUAAUAGGUACUAUUCAAAUUUAAUAUUUCCUCCAGAGUUAGUUUCAUCAAUUUGUCUUCAAAGGUACUUCUUAGAAGUUAUCAAAUUUAUUUCAAAAAAGAUUUUUGUAAUAUGCUUUCUACACCCUUUUAAAUUCUGCAAAAUCUGGGGUAAUGUAUUCUAGAUCUUGAUAUUGUAACUUAAACAGAUGCAUAAUUGAUAUUGUUUAAUAGGAAGAAAAGGUCUAAAGGAGUAGGGGAAGUGAGAGGGGUAGGGGAAAGGAAACAAGGGAAAAGAAAAAAGAUGAGAAAAGGAAAAAAAUGGAAACAAAGUCUUUGUAAAUAGCGAAGGGUGGAGGGGGUGAAGGGAGGGCAGGGGAAGAGGAAAAAAAUAAGAACCAAGAUACAUCAUGUAAAGGUACAAGAUCCUAAUGAUGAAUGUAACUGUAUUUUAUACGUAAAAUGUACCAAUAAACUUAUUGAAAAAAAGUUUUUUAGUAUGUGUUUUACAGUGCAUAAUGUUUACAUUCCUUGUGGGGAGUUGGUACAUAUGUGUAACACAUCUCAAUUGUUUUUUCCCCUUUCUCUCCAUUCACCUUAAAAAAUUUUUUUUGCCAGCAUCAGAUUCACUUAUUUAUUUUAUAAAUCCUUAUUAAGUUGAUUAUCAUAAAUUUAGAUUAACAACCAGAAUAACAGGCCAAAAAAACCCAUAUAAAAUAUUGUAUCCUUCUACUUUAGAUUUAUUAUUUUUAAAAAGACUAUAGUUGAGUUUAUCAGUUUGGGUGUGUUUUUGUUUUCUUUCUUUUUUUUUGAUACACAUGGACAAUCUUAAUCUUUUUUAUAGGGCAAUUAGUCUAUUUACACAUUUAAUAUUUGUGUUUAAUUCUACCAUUUUAGUUUAUGCUUUCCAUCGUGUCAGUUAUUCUACUUCUCUCUGUGUCCCUCUUUCCCUCUCUCCUUUCUUUUUUAAUGUAUUGAUUUUAUUAAUUUGAACUUCUCCUCGUUGGAUUUUUCACUUUUACUUUUAGAAUAAAAGUCUUUAUGUUGCCUUCAUUUUUGCUGACUAUAGAAUUCUAGGUAGGCAGUUAUUUUAGAAUAUUGAAGAUAUUUUUGUGUUAGGGCUGGUUUUUUUGGGUGUUGUUUUUGUUUUUCUAGAAGUCAGUUACUACUCUAUCAUGCCUUUGAAAGUAAUCUUUUUCUCUAGUUUAAGAUUUUUCUUUCUUUUGGCUUUUCCUGCAAGCCAAAAUGUGGAUCUCUUUAUAUUUAUUCUAUUAGGGAUUGAUAGACUCCUGAAUUUGUGAAUUGCUAUCUUUAAAAUCUAGAAAAUUAUUAGCAAUUUCUCUUCAAUUAUUGCCUAUAUUACAUUCCUCUCUAUUUCCUUCUUUUUUUUAUUAAGUUUAUUGGUACAUUUUAGGCAUACAUUAUGAUCACAUUCAUCAUUGGGAAUUUGUACCUGUACAUGAUGCAUCUUGGUUCUUGUUUUUCCCAUUCCCCUUCUCUCCCUUCCACCCCUCCACCCCUCCCUAUUUUGUUUGUUUUUUCCUUCUUUUCUCAUGUUUUUUUCUUUCUCUUCUUUCCUCCCCCCCCGUUCCACUUCCACUUUGGACCUUUUCUUCCUAUUUCACACUGUUAUACAUUUUGGUCCUCAUUUAUAUGUUCACUCUUUGAUAUGAUUAGAGGCAUCUGUCUCUAGGACAUAACAUUGUGCUAAGUGUUGACAAACUGACUUAUGGGUCAGCCCUGUUUCCAUAAGUAAAAUCUGAAUACAGCUCUGAUUAUUUAGACCUAAGCUCCCCACUGCCUUCUUUCUAAAUUACAAUGAGAGAGUUGAAUAAUUACAAUAGAGACAAUAUGGGCUUUAAGAUCUAAAAUUAACUUUUUGGCCUUUUAACCAAAAGUUACCAAUCUGUACUCUUGUUUUUAUCAUCUUGUCUGUUUUCUUCCUCAUCCUUUUAGUCUUUCCUGAUACUUCUUAUUUAUAUUCCAGUUCCCUAGUCUGUUUUUUUCUAUAUCUGAUCUAGUGCUAAACUUAUACAUUAAAUAUGUAAUUAUGGUUACUGUAUAUUUUCUUUCUUUUUUUUUUUGGCACCAGGGAUCGAACUGAGGACCUCGCACUUGCGAGGCAGGCAGCAGCACCACUGAGCUAAAUUCCCGGCCAGGUUACUGUAUAUUUUCAUUUUACAAUUUCCACUCAGGUUUUAUUUUCAAAUCCAAGUCAUUUACUUCCCACCUGAAAUGUUCAAGCUUUUCAUUUUAUCUUUAAAGACAGGAAACAUGAUUUUGGUGUCUGUGUCUGGUACUUUCAUUGUCUUAAAUUUUUGUGGAUUUAUUUCUGUGGUCUUUUUUUUUUCAAAACCUGCUUUUUAUUCCUAUAGAUUUCAACUUACUCUCUUGGUUUUAUUUGUAGAAAUAAUCUGAGCCUAGAUUAAAAACACCUGCGUUCACCAAGAAUUUUAAUUUGCUCUGACAUUCUGUGGCUGCCUUAGUUGAAGUUCUAGGCUUGAGAUUCCCAGAAUCACUCAUGUGAAGGACUCUGUUACUUCCAAUUCACUUCUGCUCUAGCAGCAGUUCCUAAGUCUACACUUGUCCUCACAUUUCACCUGGGAAACCUCAACAGCUACUAAGCCUCUGUCCUAUGGUCAAAGGUUGAGAUUUGAUUGGUCUGUGGUGUGGACUGGGCUUCAGAAUUUUUUUGUUCUUGAUUUUGCUUCAGAAUUUUUUAAAGCUCUCUAGUGAUUCUAACAUGCAGACCACUUUGUAAGGUGGUGCUCCCAGUGCAAUGCUGUUAGGGACCUCAACUUAAUGUAUGGUUAUCUAUCAGACUCUGCACUCUGCAAUCCCUUUUAUCUGUUCUGCCCAGUGGGCCUGCCAAAUACCACAGCUGCAUGUUGCUGCUGUCUUUUCCGAUAGCUGCAAAAGCAUCCUUUGGGUACUUGCGUCUCAGAGUGUCACAAGUUUUUGACAUGGAAAUCUUUCACUAAUUUAUUAGCUCUUCAAUAUUUUUUCAGAAAAAUUGUAUGUAGAUAUAUCCAUAUAUUAUUUGUAUGUAUUUCAUACAGCUGUGUUAGUCGACCUCAACAAGAGGGGUGAUAUAGUCUGGUGUUAAAAGAAUUAAGUCUUCCAGUUGCUUUUUUAAUAGGAGGAAUAAGGGAGUUUUAGAGUUCUUACCUUUCGGAAAAUGUCUUUAUUUACUUUCUGGAAUCAUAAUUUGGCUGGGAUUUGAAAUCUAAGUUGAAAUUUAGUUUUUCUUUAAAUAUUUGAAGGCACUGUCUUGAUCUAUUUUAACAUUCAUUAUAGCUGUUGAAUGAUCCUAUUCAUUGUUUAUGCUCUUCCCCUUGUAAAUCACUUUCCCUCUCUGGGAAAUGAUUAGGAUUUUCUCUUCCCUUGGGAUGCUGAUAUCUCACAAUCACAUAUAUAGAACAGGCCUUAUUUCAUUCAUGUUUCCAAGCAUAAAAAGGGACAUAUUUGAUCUGAAGAUUUUAAUUUCUGCUGCUGGGAAAUUUUAUUGCCGUGUAACUUUCAGCUUUUCCUUCUCUGUAUUUCUCUCUCUUUCUCUUUUAAAGAAUCAUUUUGUUCAGCUUUUGGCCUUCCUAGAUCCAUUCUGUAUAUUACUGACCAUGUCCUUCCUAAUUCUUAAUGCAGUUUCUUUCUGUACUAACUCGUGGAAGACAUAUUCAAUUUUACUCUCCAAUUUGAUUCACUUUUUAUUUCCAGAAGAAAAGUUAUUGUUCUUUGAUUUACCCUUUUACGUAACCUCUAUUUCUGGGCAUAGGAUACAUAUCUUUGCUUAUUUUCCUAAGGAUUAUAGAUUUUAAAAUCUUAUAUCCUUUUAUAUCUUUUUUCCUCUGGUUGUUUUGUUUUUAUUUAUUUUUCCUUGUAUUGGUCUUCCUCUUUCUGUUAGAGGUUUUCCUCACUUAUCUGGGGAAACUUGGCACUCUGUUAAUAAUUAACAGUGAGUCUUUAAAAGAUUGCCUGUAUGGCCUGAGUGUGUGUGCAGAACUUAUUGACCCAUAAACUCCUUUUGGGAGUAAUUGAACUGGAGUUCACAAAUGCAAACCAAUAAACAAAGCUGAUUUUUCCUUUCAUCAUUUAGUUUGUUAAAAAAAUAUCUUCACAUAUCUGUGGCAUGAAGAGGGCAGUUUAAGAAAGGGUGGCUGUGUAGUUCAACUAUUUCUUUUACAGGUAAUUGUGUCUCCCUGAGGCUGCUUCCAACUGAGUAACCCUUAGUCUAAACCUUUUUCAUCAAAUUAUACAGAAAAGUACUCUUUAAUCACCAGUGGAGGAAACCAGUAGCCUGACUGCUUGAGGUGAAAGAAGAAUGUAACUAUUCCAUGAGAGACUUUCAACACCUAUUUUUAGCCCCUCACCUCACCUCAGCCCUUCAUUAUCCUUGUACUUGCUGUCUCCAAAGCUUGAGAAUCUCAGGCUUUCCACUGCAGGCCUGUAGCUAAUUUACUCUUGGUAACCCAUCUCCAGGUGACUCAGAUCAUUGCUUCCUCUGCUCUGCUAAAUCCCUCCACCUGGUCCUAUAUUCCAAAACUGUGUUAAUUUUCUUAUCUCCUUAUCUUCUUCAUUAUUCUCUUCUUUUUUAAAAAAAAUAGGUUUUUACCUUUUUUGUUGUAGUUCCUUUACCUUCAAGUUAAUAGCAUCUCUGUUGUGGCUCAUGCCUAGAUAUUCCUCCAAAGCCUCAUGCAGUCUUUAUCAGAGGUGGCUGGAUCUAGUAUGUGAUGCUAGGAUUGAUUCAUGGUGCAAUGCUAGGCCCAAGGGCACUAGGAUUAAGGGUAUGAAUGCUGCCCGCCUUAAGUAAUCUGAAUAAGAUAAAAGGGGCAGAAAGACACUUACAUUCUCUUAUUGCUUUGCUACUAUCUGUCCACCAUGAAUUGUUGCCCCUCUACCACCCUGCUUGGCGCCAGCCAAUUAUGGAUUGAAACCUCUAUGAACUGUGAGCUAAAUAAACCCUUUCCUUUUUAACUUUGGGUGUCAGGUAUUUUGUCUCAGCAAUGAGAGAAAAGUAAGACAAUCUCAAAAAAGAGAGAAGAUUGAAAAAAACCCUGCCACUUAAAAAUAUACCCCAAUUAACUUUAGAUGGUUUGUCUAUUAAAGACAAUUCUCUUGGGGUUUUGUUAGGCUUGCUUUGGGUUUCUAGGCUAAUUUAAGAAUUGUCAUUUCUAUGUUAUUAUGUAUUCCUAUUUUAAGAACAUGGUAACCCUCUCCAUUUAUUUUGAGCACGGUGACCUGCAAGGUUACACAGUUUUCUUCAUGUUAUUCUUACUAGUAAAAACAUUUCUCUGAUGAACAGCAUGAGACACAAUUGGAAAGCAAAUUCAUGAGCUUGAAGAAUUACCUUAUGAAUUGACUUAGAAUACGGUGCAAAAAGACAAAAAGUAUGAUAGAGGACUAAGAGAUCCCCAAAAAUAGAUACAGCAAUUCCAACAGCAUUCUAAUAAGAAUUUCAGGAGAAGAAAACAGAAGAGAAGAAUUAAUUAUUUUUUAAAAUUUCCUGAAGUUGCAGAAUAAGGAAAACACGCACCCCUCCCAUACACCUUAAUCUACAUUGUGCAAAAUUUCAGAAAGGUAAAGAGAAAAUUUCAAAGGAUUCAAAAUAGAAAAUCACAUCAAUGGUUUAAUGUGAGGACUAUUUCUAUCCCCAUUUUAGAUAAGAAUUACCAACUGUAGAACCAGCAAAUAAAGCCUGCAAAUAUUUGCUUCUUCUGAGCAAGUUGUACCUAUUGUUCAUAUCGGACAGUCAGGUGGGUGCCACGUGUCAGCAUUGAAUUCCGAGUGUUGUCAUUGCCCACCAUUGAGGGGCUACUGAAUUGCAGCAGAUAGCACAGGACUCAUCUGUCCUCCCAGAUAUUGUAACACUUCCAGACUUCUUUCUCUGACCCUAUCCACUUGGAGAACCACCCUCUCCUCUCACUCUUAUAACACCUGAAAACCCCUGUUUGGAACAAAAGUUGAGACUUGGAUACUUCGUAUUCAAAAUCUUCAUUCCACUAGAAUGAAUGAGGAAUAUCCUUGAUAGGAAGGAAAACCUAGAGCAAAGUAUGAGGGUGCUCAAGUCCUCACAUACUUAAGCCCCAACCCCCUAGUUCCCUACCUUUAUUUAAAGGUCCAAAGAGAGAUAAAUACAUUCAUUCCAAGAUCCCCUUGAGAUUUCUAAGUGCUCUGUCCAGGACACUAAUAGAGUGUGAGACAAGUCAAAUGGUGUAGUAGCAUGUGUAUACACCUAUAUUUGAAGAAGUACAUUCCUUUGCUUAGGAGGGACACACCCAAACCACCUAACAAGGCAGGCUUUAUCCUUCCUUUUACAGUUGGAGAAAUGGUUGUAAAUGGCAUCCUAAAUAGUGUAUGAGCUUAAUGGGUAGUGCCUUCAAAUCAGGUAAUCAGAUUUUUCUCCUUCCAUUUUGAACUAUUUUAGAUACAUGGGUGAAUUGAAAUGUAUUUCUAAUAUGCCUUUGAAAACAUAACUUGGAGCUCUUUUCUGUACCAUUCCUGGUACUGGGAAAAGAAAGAAGAACAUGAGUCCCUUUCAAUGGGUAAAGAUUCUAGUUCCAUCAACUACUACUGUCCAGGCAGACUCUAAUAAGCCAUUAAAACUCCACAGUUCUUCAGUCCCUAAUCUUCACAUAGAAAUACUGCUGGCUUUGCCUACCUGACUCAGACUUUUUGUGUGUGGAUGUAGUCUGAUAAUAUAUAUGAAAAAGUUAUAGGAAAACCUAGAGGGCAUUAUCAUUUUCUUCUGAUGUCUUUUUAAAAAAUUUUAAAAUAACUUUAUUAUCAAACACACACACAAAAUUAAAACCAUUCAAAGAAGAACAAUGCAAGGGGAAAAAAACUACAAUAAUAUUCAAAUACAGUAGAAAUCAACCAAAACAAAACUGAAAAGCGCUUCAACAUUUUUCCAUAUAACUUAAAAAAGCAUCUCAAGCACCAACAAGACACCAGAGGAUGUGAUUUGUUUCAUAAAGAUCUCCAAAACCAACUGUGAACAAAUAAUGAUGUGGAAAAAAACUCCAGUUAGUUAGCAGACUCCACAUAAAGACAAACUUCUCCCUAAUUUAAAUUUCGACACAGUCAUCUGAGACGUGAUGGAAACACAAUCUGAGAAAUAUGUUAUUAAGCCAUUUCAUCUGUGUGUAUCCUUUGUUUUCAUUAAUCUGAGUUACUAAAUUAAAGCUGAAUUCAAAUUAUGAUUUCAUUUCACACAAGGAUGAGCAAUGUCUCUUUCUUGGUGUAUAGUGGUUGAAUCGCUUUCUCUCUUAUGUCCUACUAUCUCUUUUUCAUUGAGUGUUUUCAGGGUGUAUGUGAGUCAUUUAUGUCCUGGAUCAUGGUCUAACAUUCUCUGUUCUUCCCUUGAAGCAUGAAGAAGGAAGAUACGGUGCUACUGGCUGGCUGGAUCCUUUCUGAGCUGUACUAAGCAGUGAGAUCCAUAAUCUUUGAGCUUUCCAAAGGAUGUCCCAGUUGUGUUCACUGAGCUGCUUGGGGUAGAGAAGAACACAGUUGAGUCACCUGGAAGCAGUUUGGAAUGACUUUUUCUAGGUGCUAUAAAUGAGAAAACAGCCUGAGACCAAGAAUGAAGAAAGCAGCUACUUGUCCAUCUUGUAGCAGAUGUUUGACCAGAUGGCCACUGCAUGGCCUUUGUUGAGAAGAAACCACCUGGCUUUUAAGGAUUCUACAGAAAUCAAGCAAUGGAUCAACAAGUGGAGAAAAGCACCUGUUAGAGAUGAGGAUCCACACUAGCUGCUUUGAGCUUGAAGAUGCAUGGCACAGUUGCUGUCUUCAACCAACCACUGAUUUAAAUGAAAGAUAAGAUGUAACAGUGGACGUUUUUCCUUGCUUCCCUAAUGUCUCUUGGGAAACCACGUUUCAGCAAUUCCUAAGUCAUAUGUAUGUGGCAGCACUAUCUCCAGAUCGAGGCCAUAAUUCCCAGGCCAAAAGCCAAGGACAAAGGGAUGGGUCAGUAGUACAAGUUGAGCCCAAAUAAAUAGCCCUACAUCUUCCCAGAGCUGUGACGAAGAGGCUCCAGUCUGUAGAAUGAGUCUCCAGCACCAAGAGUAUAGGGAGGAAAGGAAAGAGAGAAAGGAACAUUGGUUAGAUUGUGUUGUUGGAGCAUUGAUACAGCCUUGCCUGAAGUUCCCUGGAUUUCCCUGAAGACCUUGGGCUUUCCAGGUACAUGAUACAUAAUCUUCAUCCCCUUUUUUUCCUUGAGCCAGUGUAAGCUGGGUUUCUCUCCUUGUCAGCUGAAGAGCCCUAAGAAUUGGUACUUUACUUUAGUCAACUGGAAUGGCUUCUUAGACAGUCUGCUACCAUUCAUCUUCCGGACAUCAAGCCCAGCUGAGGGUUUUGGCAAACAAGCCCAGCAUGAGUGUUGAUAAAUUUGCUGUAACUGCCAGACUUUUCUGCUGGCUAUUUUAAGGUUGAUGUGUUUUCAGAAGCUAGGAGAGAAACUGCUAGGACACUUAUUUGGUGACAUGUAGAUUAAUCUGAUCUUCACUAGCAAUGCCCUCAUUUGAUCACAAUAACCAUUCCUAAUAAGACAUCCCUCUGUCCUAUAAAAUCAGUUUUCUACCUGUGUGAAUGCGAUCCAGAGGCAAUAUUUGAGGCAGCAUUUGAUUCUUUGGCUCUUAGUAUAAAUAUGGGAUGUAACUGAAUAUGUGACUUAUAACUUCAGUUACCUUUUCCAUUCAUAAUUCUGUGUUAGAAACUGAUCUAUAAUCUCAGAUGAGUCACAGCUGGGAUUACUAAAAGAGAAAAUUCAGCCCAGGCUUAGGGUAACAGAAAAGACAAGAGAUAUUUUUGAAAUAUAUUUGAUAUUUCCAGGACCCUCACCUUCACCCAAGAUACCAACAUCCAAUGUUGCUCAGGAAUCUUACAUAUAAUGGCAUAGUAUUUGUGUAUAACCUACAUACAUCUUCCUGUAUAGUUUAACCAUCUCUAAAUUGCUUACAAUAUAUAAUCAAUAUAAAAUCCACAAAAUAGCUAUUAUGCUAUAUUGCCUAGGGAAUAGUGACAAGGAAACAUAGUUACUAGAGAAACAUAAAAAUAUUUUCAAUCCAUGGUUGGUUGAAUCCACAGAUACAGAAAACAUGGUUAUGGAGGGCUGACUAUAUUCAUUUUGUAAGUUAGAAUUGUAUUGAUGUUCAAUUAUAUAUUAGUCGGGAGUGAGAAAUAUACCAUAAUUUAGCCUCUGAAUAUUUUAAUCUAUUUCUAAAUGCCAAGCAAAGAAAUAAAAACUAAAAAAGAAACAGAAGAAAAAUGUAUACUACUGUGAGAAAUGUGGUCUAAAUAAAGAACAAGGAAAGACUAUACACUCUUUAAUCAUAGGAAUAUAAAAUCCUUCUUAUAAGAGAAUGUUCCAGAAGUGUGCUAAAGGUUUGUAUUAUUUUAUACAGAAAGAGGAGUCUUAAUUUUUUUUUGUAAACAGUUUGAGAUUUCAGAGUUGACUCCCUAAUUUAUUUAAAACAAGAAUUGCUUCAUGAAUUAGCCUCAAGCACUCCUCAGGAAGUUAUUUAUGUGGUACUUCACCAUGGCUGCAGGUUUAUAUCAAGCCACAACUGUAUAAACAAAGACUAUUAACCUACCGGCUGGAUUUAGCAGACACUUUAGUGUAUUUAAAUCUGCUGACAUUUCAAAUGACUAUGUCUCCAGAUUCUUCACAGAUCAACCACAGCAGUGACAAGACUAUUUCUGAGUAGCUCUAAGCCAAACAAUGUGUGUGUUCUAAACAAUGACCACUAAAAAAAUGAGGGCUGGUAUUCUGCUUUUACUCAAACUUAUGCUAAGUAUUUUCAGUGGGGCUGGAAGAGUAUCAGGGUGGCUCAAAAAUGAGGAAGGCUUCAGAUGGUCUUGAAGGUAAUGAUGUAACUCUUGCAUUUUUCCACAUAUAGCACAUAAUUAUUAGUAGUAAAUAAUUUAUUGGUCAACUGGGAGAUAAUUGUUUUUCCUCUUCUGUUUUCUUUCUUUGGUAAGAUUUUAGAUGAGUGGUAUUGUUUGGGACUGUCCUCCCUUCUCAUUGUUUCAGAGUGGAUCUCAGGAAGUGUCACUGAGGAGUGGGGACAUUUAGACAGGAGGAAAAAGAGCCAGUGAGAGGGGAUUUCCACCCAAAUGGGCAUCUGGGGCUUGGUCCUACCUGGAACCUUCGAGUAGCCUACAUGUCAGGACUUUGCCGGGAAGGAGCUAGGAAAUGGGGUAUUUACCCACAAAUUCCUUUUGUUGGUGCAGGAGUGUGCCUGGGCUUUGCAUUCUGGAGGAAAUCCCAGAGUGAGAAGGAGAAAAGGUUGGUGCUUUAAAUCUGAAGCUGUCAGCUGGCAAGGAAAGUGUCUAUGAUCCUUCCAAUGACUAGCUCAGAGGAAAUACCAAUGGUGCAUCAACAGGCUUGGAUGCGCUAGCCAUUUUUACAUAAAAAAAUGUUUAGGUUUGUCAUGAGAAAUUAUUUUUAUUUUCUCCAGCAGAAAGAGGAUCUUUUUGACUAUUUGCUUAAAAAAAGACUUCAGUGGAAUGAUUUGAGACAGGUUUUCCAGUUGUACGCUGCAACAACAUUAACAUGACAAAUGAACACAGAAGCCAAGUUAAAUUAUCAGAGUACUGCUGGGAAGCGAAAUAUUAUAAAGCCUUUAAACAUCAUCCUUUUGGAAUUUUUAAUAACUUGAAAAGAUGUUAAGUGAAAUGCUAACAUUAAGUGAAAAAAACAGGUUAUAGAACUGUACAAUUUCAGUUAUAUGAGAAAAAUAUUUAUGUAAGAAAAAGAAAGACUAGAAAAAAUAUGCCAACAGUUUUGUGAUUGGUUUCUUUCUCUGGGUGAUGACAUAAUGAAUAACUUUAUGACUUUCUAUGUUUUUCUUCAUUUCCCAAGUGUUCUACAAUGAACAAUUUGUACUAUAUUUUAAGAAGUAGAUGC
rnacentral:lncRNA from 1 species